rnacentral:rRNA from 1 species
UACGGAGGGUGCAAGCGUUGUUCGGAAUCACUGGGCGUAAAGGGUGCGUAGGCGGGUCUUUAAGUCAGGGGUGAAAUCCUGGAGCUCAACUCCAGAACUGCCUUUGAUACUGGGGAUCUCGAGUCCGGAAGAGGUGAGUGGAACUGCGAGUGUAGAGGUGAAAUUCGUAGAUAUUCGCAAGAACACCAGUGGCGAAGGCGGCUCACUGGUCCGGUACUGACGCUGAGGUGCGAAAGCGUGGGGAGCAAACAGG